GUUUGAAUAAUUUAAUAAAAAUAUUGAUUUUGUAAAUCAAUCUUGGAUUUUCCUUUAAACA
rnacentral:tRNA from 1 species